CAUUUCUUAAAUAUAAAAUAAAAUAAAAUAGAAUAGAAUACAAGAGUAAAAUAAAAAUUAUUUACGGUUGUUGCCACGAUGUACGGCAAGCCAGUACUUCGGUAUGCGAUUGUCAGGACACUCAGAGCAUACCCUGAGGAUCUCGUUCUGAGAAUUGCGGAUGCGGAACCAGAAAGCCGCAACCCGACAUCAAACAACCGCGA